rnacentral:rRNA from 1 species
GACAGAGGAUGCAAGCGUUAUCCGGAAUGAUUGGGCGUAAAGCGUCUGUAGGUGGCUUUUCAAGUCCGCCGUCAAAUCCCAGGGCUCAACCCUGGACAGGCGGUGGAAACUACCAAGCUGGAGUACGGUAGGGGCAGAGGGAAUUUCCGGUGGAGCGGUGAAAUGCAUUGAGAUCGGAAAGAACACCAACGGCGAAGGCAGCACUCUGGGACGUGACUGACGCUGAGACGCGAAAGCGUGGGGGAGCAAACAGGG